GGAUGUGAGGGCGAUCUGGCUGGCUAGGCGGGUGUCCCCUUCCUCCCUCACCGCUCCAUGUACAUCCCUCCCAAAGCUGCACGCUCGGUGGAAGAGGAUGACCUUCCCCGAAUAGAGGAGGACUAGUCUUCGGUCAAGGGUAUACGAGUAGCUGCGCUCCCCUGCUAGAAUCUCCAAACAAGCUCUCAAUAGAGAGGCUGGCAUGUCCCUAGUUUCUUAAGGGCUGCUGCAAUGCAUUUCCAAUUAUG
rfam:Mesocricetus auratus contig020117, whole genome shotgun sequence.